UUGGAGGGCAAGUCUGGUGCCAGCAGCCGCGGUAAUUCCAGCUCCAAUAGCGUAUAUUAAAGUUGUUGCAGUUAAAAAGCUCGUAGUUGAAUUUCGGGAUCAAAUUGUUGGUCGUGCCUCGGUACGCACUGGUAUUAUUGGUUCCUACCUUCUGAAGAACCGCGAUGUCAUUAAUUUGGUGUCGUGGGGAAUCAGGACUGUUACUUUGAAAAAAUUAGAGUGUUUAAAGCAGGCUUACGCUUGAAUACAUUAGCAUGGAAUAAUGAAAUAGGACGUUUGAUUCUAUUUUGUUGGUUUCUAGGAUUGACGUAAUGAUUAAUAGGGAUAGUUGGGGGCAUUAGUAUUCAAUUGUCAGAGGUGAAAUUCUUGGAUUUAUUGAAGACUAACUACUGCGAAAGCAUUUGCCAAGGAUGUUUUCAUUAAUCAAGAACGAAAGUUAGGGGAUCGAAGACGAUCAGAUACCGUCGUAGUCUUAACCGUAAACUAUGCCGACUAGGGAUCGGAUGAUGUUAAUUUUUUAAUGACUCAUUCGGCGCCUUACGGGAAAC
rnacentral:rRNA from 1 species